rnacentral:rRNA from 1 species
GUAACACGUAUACAAUCUACCUAAAACUGGAGGAUAGCCCGAAGAAAUUCGGAUUAAUGCUCCAUAUGCUCGUAGGAUCUCCUGAUCCAGCGAGGAAAGCUCCGGCGGUAAAGGAUGAGCAUGCGUCCCAUUAGCUUGUUGGUGAGGUAACGGCUCACCAAGGCGACGAUGGGUAGGGGGCCUGAGAGGGCGAUCCCCCACACUGGUACUGAGACACGGACCAGACUCC